rnacentral:rRNA from 1 species
UACGGAGGGGGCUAGCGUUGUUCGGAAUUACUGGGCGUAAAGCGCACGUAGGCGGCUUUGCAAGUUAGAGGUGAAAGCCCGGGGCUCAACUCCGGAAUUGCCUUUAAAACUGCAUCGCUAGAAUUGUGGAGAGGUAAGUGGAAUUCCGAGUGUAGAGGUGAAAUUCGUAGAUAUUCGGAAGAACACCAGUGGCGAAGGCGACUUACUGGACACAUAUUGACGCUGAGGUGCGAAAGCGGGGGGAGCAAACAGG